UGAAGCAUGACAGCCAUGGCCUGCCCCUGGCCAGCAGCUCCCUGCUGUCACCGGCUGUGGGGCAGAGAAUAGGCUUCUCUGCCUUUAAUCAGCACUGGCAUAGACCUGGGGAGAGCCAAGAAGAAGCGCUGAGAUGGCACUGUGGUGGCCGGGCCUCCUGCCUCAUCUCCUGGCAGGCUGAGUGAUGGAUUCCUCACACUCAAUCAUCCAGAAUGACAGAGAACUGGCUGCCUGUGUGACAUUCCGGGAAGGGGGCUCCACUGCUGACAACGCCCUCUGCACCAUGAGAGCAGAUACAGAGUCUUGCUAUGUCGUCCAGGCUGGUUUUGAACUCCUGUCUUCAAGGGUUCUUCCUGCCUUGGCUUCUCAAAGGGCCAGGACUACAAGCAUGAGCCACCACACCUGGCCAGUGUCAGCACUGCCGCUGCUGCUAGCACAGCACACUGGCUACGAUCCAAACACCAGGCCGACUACAUCACUCCUGGCUUCCCCAGCACAACUCUAGGAGGUCAGUACUAUCAUCUGCCUCAGUUUCACACAUGAGGAAACUAAGGCACAGUUGGAAAACUUACCUGUGUCCUCACAGCUACUGAGGAGCUGAGCAAGGACUGAACCAACAGUAUCAGGCUCCAGGGUCUGUGCCUCCAAGCUGUCAGCUACCCUGUUCCUCAUCUUCUCAACGUUGUGGUUCCCCACAGCACAAAGAUUCUGACGUCCUAAUCCAUAGGAAUGGUGACUACGUCAGAUUACAAGACCAAGGGGAAUGAAGGCUGCAGAGGGAAUUAAGAUUACUGAUCAUCUGACUUUGAGAAGGCAAAGAUUAUCCUGGAUUAUCUCUGUGAGCCCAAAGUAAUCAUAAAGGUCCUUCCAGGGUGGAAGAGUGUGGUUGGAGUCAGAGAAAGAUGUGUAGAUGCAGCAACGCUGCCAGCUCUGAAGAUGGAAGAAGGGACCAUGAGCCAAGGACUGCAGGUGUCCUCCACAAGCUGGAAAAGGCAAGGACAUGGAUAUUUCCCUAGAAAUCCCAAAAGGAGGGAGCCCUGACAACACCUUGAAUGUAGCCCAGUGGGGUGCAUUCUGUGGUUCUGACCUCCAGAACUGUAGGAUAAUGAAUUUGUGCUGUUUUGGACCACUGCGUUUGAUAAUUUGCUAUAAAAGAAGAUUCCUGCAGAUGCAAAAGCAGCUCCCGUUUCUUUCCUCCUCAAAGCUCAGCAGCACAGCACUCUGCAGAAGAAUCCAAAGGCAAAACCCCAUCCUAAACACCCUCCCUUGCUCCCUGUGCAGAUGUCCUCCCUGAGGUCCACCUGGGCUUUGUUUGGCUACGAGGUGUGACUGGACAUUGUAUCUUGAGGCCAGACGUGGCCGAGCUUCCCUGCAAAUCAGGAACCUCCACUACAGGCUUCUUCCGCUCCAAAGUCCCCUUCCUGAGGGCCAAGAGCUAAGCAAGUCCCACUCCCAGCAGCAGCUGGACUGAGCCUCAUUACCAGGGAAGUCAGGGCCUCCAGGGACAGAGGUAGAUUUGUGCCUCUUAAAGAGCAGUGGAGUUCAGGGAGGACUGUACUGAGAUAGCAGGGAGAGUACCAGAAGGAACAGAAGGACAGAGAGAAAGACAUCAAAUUUGCAUGAGGGGAAGACAAGGUUUUAAUUACGCCUUUUCUUAACCUCAUUGUACCUUGAGGUAUCUUAACAUUACUCUCCCUGGCAGGAAGGAUUGAUUGAUUGCCUCUUGGCAUUCAGAAACCCCGAUUAAUGUAAAACUAACCAGUCGUUCUAAACUCUGGGGAAUUAAUCACUUAAAUGUGGGAAUUACUCAAUAAACCAUUCAAACAUGCAAUAAACCAAGCCAUUAAAAAUUAAUCGCUCGACAUCCUGGCCAUGUAAACAGAGCUAAUAAGAUCCAGGCAGCCCAGAAAGAGGAGGAAAAGAAUGAAGCAGGAAGAUGAUGCCUUUUAGCAGCCACACCCAAGGACCCACGUAGAUACACCAAAGUCCAGGAUGCACAUCACAAAUCAUCAGGGUAGGUGACAUCUGGUCCCUAGGGUCUCCCAGCCUGUCCUCAGGACAAGAGUGGACAGGUAGGUAAGAGAGAGGGGACCUCAGUGGGCUGUUAGGAAGAGGCAGUGGGGUUAGAGCUACAGUGCUUAACAAAUUCUUACUGAGCAUCUACUAUGUACCAGGCACCGUGCAGGACUCUGCAGGUACAGCCACCAACAAGAGGACGGUGGCUGCCUUCAGGGAGCUGACACUGGAGUGGAAGGUGUGCAUGUGUGUCUGUAUGUCUAUUAGAAACUAUAUUUAUUUUAUGAAGCACUGGCUUUAAAGAAAAACAAAGCCAAGACUUGCAAGGGGUAGAAGAUGACAGAAGAUGAGAGUUCCUUUUUUAGACUGAGGAGGUGCCAUCUGGCCAAGACCCCAAAGUAGUGAGGGCAGGAAGCACACAGACAUCUGGGGAAGAGAAUUCCAGCCAGAGAUCUGGGCAAAUGCAAAGGCCCUGAGGUGGGCAAGGGAGCUGCAGGGAGAGGAAGUGGGUCCCAGAGGCAUGAGGCUUUGGAGGAGGGAACAGCAGUGAGUGCACAGAGUAUCUAGGGCCUCGUUAGGAAAUUGGAAAGAAUACGACUUUGGUCCCCAGGGAGAUGGAGAGCCACUGAAGGUUUCUGAGCCAAGAGGAGGCGGGUCCCGUCUGUCCUGCUUAUUAGGAGCCUCACACUGGUUGCUGGGUUGAGGACAGAAGAUGGAGACUGCCAGGCACAGUGGCUCACACCUGGAAUCCCAGCACUUUGGGAGACUGAAGCAGGUGGAUCACCUG